rnacentral:rRNA from 1 species
GGUGAGUAACGCGUGAGCAACCUGCCUUUUACAGGGGGAUAACGUGCCGAAAGGCACACUAAUACCGCAUGAGACCACAAGCAUACAUAUGGAAGGGGUCAAAGGAGAAAUCCGGUAAGAGAUGGGCUCGCGUCCGAUUAGAUAGUUGGUGAGGUAACGGCUCACCAAGUCAACGAUCGGUAGCCGACCUGAGAGGGUGAUCGGCCACAUUGGAACUGAGAGACGGUCCAAACUCCUACGGGAGGCAGCAGUGGGGAAUAUUGGGCAAUGGGGGAAAACCCUGACCCAGCGACGCNUUAUGGAGGAAGAAGGUCUUCGGAUUGUAAACUUCUGUUCUUGGGAAGAGGAAAGACCGUGCCAGAGAG